AACGAACGCUGGCGGCAUGCCUAACACAUGCAAGUCGAACGAAGGCUUCGGCCUUAGUGGCGCACGGGUGCGUAACGCGUGGGAAUCUGCCCUUUGGUUCGGAAUAACAGCUGGAAACGGCUGCUAAUACCGGAUGAUGACGAAAGUCCAAAGAUUUAUCGCCAGAGGAUGAGCCCGCGUUGGAUUAGGUAGUUGGUGGGGUAAAGGCCUACCAAGCCGACGAUCCAUAGCUGGUCUGAGAGGAUGAUCAGCCACACUGGGACUGAGACACGGCCCAGACUCCUACGGGAGGCAGCAGUGGGGAAUAUUGGACAAUGGGCGAAAGCCUGAUCCAGCAAUGCCGCGUGAGUGAUGAAGGCCCUAGGGUUGUAAAGCUCUUUUACCCGGGAAGAUAAUGACUGUACCGGGAGAAUAAGCCCCGGCUAACUCCGUG
rnacentral:rRNA from 1 species